rnacentral:rRNA from 1 species
GACGAACGCUGGCGGCGUGCCUAAUACAUGCAAGUCGAACGCACAGUUUAUACCGUAGCUUGCUACACCAUAGACUGUGAGUUGCGAACGGGUGAGUAACGCGUAGGUAACCUGCCUGGUAGCGGGGGAUAACUAUUGGAAACGAUAGCUAAUACCGCAUAAUAUUAAUUAUUGCAUGAUAAUUAAUUGAAAGGUGCAAUUGCACCACUACCAGAUGGACCUGCGUUGUAUUAGCUAGUAGGUGAGGUAACGGCUCACCUAGGCGACGAUACAUAGCCGACCUGAGAGGGUGAUCGGCCACACUGGGACUGAGACACGGCCCAGACUCCUACGGGAGGCAGCAGUAGGGAAUCUUCGGCAAUGGACGAAAGUCUGACCGAGCAACGCCGCGUGAGUGAAGAAGGUUUUCGGAUCGUAAAGCUCUGUUGUAAGAGAAGAACGGGUGUGAGAGUGGAAAGUUCACACUGUGACGGUAUCUUACCAGAAAGGGACGGCUAACUUCGUG